GGGCACAUGGUGUAGUUGGUUAUCACAUCCGCUUAGCAAAUGUAGCUUUAAUGCGGGGGGUGCUGGGUUCAAUUCCCAGUGUGUCCA